rnacentral:rRNA from 1 species
GAGCGAAACCCAGAAAAGUACUCUCAGUUCAGAUUGUGGGCUGCAACCCGCCCACAUGAAGUUGGAGUUGCUAGUAAUCGCGGAUCAGCAUGCCGCGGUGAAUACGUUCCCGGGCCUUGUACACACCGCCCGUCACACCAUGAGAGUCGGGAACACCCGAAGUCCGUAGUCUAACCGCAAGGAGGGCGCGGCCGAAGGUGGGUCCGGUAAUUGGGGUGAAGUCGUAACAAGGUACC